rnacentral:rRNA from 1 species
CGCGUAGGCGGUUAUACAAGCUUGGUGUGAAAUCCCGCAGCUCAACUGCGGAGACGCGCUGAGAACUGUAUGACUAGAGUUCAAGAGGGGAAGCUGGAAUUCCUGGUGUAGGGGUGAAAUCUGUAGAGAUCAGGAAGAACAUCAGUGGCGAAGGCGAGCUUCUGGCUAUGAACUGACGCUAAGGCGCGAAAGCGUGGGGAGCGAACA